GAGCAGGGCUCGACAGCAAUGAGGACUGCUAAUCUUCAUGACCCCAGUUAAACCCCGGGGCCAGCUCG
rnacentral:tRNA from 1 species